UAGGGAAUAUUGGUCAAUGGACGCAAGUCUGAACCAGCCAUGCCGCGUGCAGGAUGAAUGUCCUAUGGAUUGUAAACUGCUUUUAUAUGGGAAGAAACCCCUGGAUGCGUCCGGGGCUGACGGUACCAUUUGAAUAAGGAUCGGCUAACUUCGUGCCAGCAGCCGCGGUAAGACGAAGGAUUCAAGCGUUGUCCGGAUUUACUGGGUUUAAAGGGUGCGUAGGCGGAAAGCUAAGUCAGUGGUGAAAGCCCGCAGCUCAACUGCGGAACUGCCAUUGAAACUGGCCUUCUUGAAUACAGUGGAGGUAGAUGGAAUAUAACAUGUAGCGGUGAAAUGCUUAGAUAUGUUAUAGAACACCGAUUGCGAAGGCAGUCUGCUACACUGUCAUUGACGCUGAGGCACGAAAGCGUGGGGAGCGAACAGG
rnacentral:rRNA from 1 species